rnacentral:rRNA from 1 species
UUCGUCCGGAAAGAAAUGCUCUGUAAUACUGGGGUCGAUGACGGUACCGGAAGAUAAGGACCGCUAACUACGUGCCAGCAGCGCGGUAAUACGUAGGGUCAAGCGUUAAUCGGAAUUACUGGGCGUAAAGCGUGCGCAGGCGGUUGUGCAAGACCGAUGUGAAAUCCCCGAGCUUAACUUGGGAAUUGCAUUGGUGACUGCACGGCUAGAGUGUGUCAGAGGGGGGUAGAAUUUCCACGUGUAGCAGUGAAAUGCGUAGAGAUGUGGAGGAAUACCGAUGGCGAAGGCAGCCCCCUGGGAUAACACUGACGCUCAUGCACGAAAGCGUGGGGAGCAAACAGGAUUAGAUACCCUGGUAGUCCACGCCCUAAACGAUGUCAACUAGUUGUUGGGGAUUCAUUUCCUUAGUAACGUAGCUAACGCGUGAAGUUGACCGCCUGGGGAGUACGGUCGCAAGAUUAAAACUCAAAGGAAUUGACGGGGACCCGCACAAGCGGUGGAUGAUGUGGAUUAAUUCGA